rnacentral:lncRNA from 1 species
UAGUCAUUAUGGGUAAAUUAGUAAUUGUACAUCAACUUUUGGUUAUAAUUAUCAUAAACUUAGAAAAAUAACUAUAUUCUAUUUGAGGUCCAAAUUUUGAUUACUUAUUCAAAUUUCCCUUAGGCUUGUUGUCCAGCUUGCAUAUGGAGGGAGACGGGGAGUGUCCGACGUUGGUAAAGCAGCACGACACUAAUUAUAUAUCUGUGUUCGCAUUAGUGCACUUUCAUGAAAAUCCGUAUCAAGGUCCGCAUGAACGUUGGCUACAUGAAGUAAAAAUCCGACAAUGAUAUGGAGUAAGUUUAGGGGGGAAGAAGAGGUGCAAUUGGACUUCAUCAUCAAGACCGACCACUAUGCUUCAUCCUUUAACCAAGUUCUUUGAUAAGGGCGUUGUGGAUCUCACUUGCGGUUAGGGAUGGGCAAAAUACCCAUGGGUAUGGGUAACCACGGUUACCCGUCCAUUUAAAGUUAACGGUUAUGGUUAUGGGUAAUCGUUUAGACAAAUAAACGGUUAUGGGUAUAACCGUUUAUCUAUGAAAUUUAAAUGGCCGGUUAUGGGUAUUAUCCGUGGUUAUAACGGGUAUCCAUUGGUUAUGGGUAAUAUUCAUGGUUAUAACGGGUAUCCAUUUAGCUAUUUAAUUUAAUAUAUGUAAAAUUAAAAAAAAAAUUAAAAAACCCUCAGAAAUUAAAUUACAACUCUGUCACUCUCUCUCUCUCU